UCUCUUCUCUCUCCUCUCUCUUCUUUCUUCCCCCUCACGACAGAACCAGCUUUUCUUCUCCUUCUUUUCUUCGCGUGCGAACCAGGAGCUCGGAGAUCGCAGCUCGCCGAGAACCGCUCGCCGCUCGUCCCGCCGCCGCACCGCUGCCCACGCCCGUGCGCCCGUCGCCGUCCCGCCGUCCGUCGCUCGCUGCCGCUCCUCCCUCCGCGCGAUCCAGCCAACCCAGCUGCUGUUCGCCCCUGUUCCGCACCGACCAGCCACCGUCCGGCCACCGCCUAGCCUCGCCGGACCUCCCCCGCGACCCCCUCGCCUUCCGCCGGCCUUCCCUCGCCGUUUUGGC
rnacentral:lncRNA from 1 species